GGCAGAUUAGGUAGUUGGUGAGGUAAAGGCUCACCAAGCCUUCGAUCUGUAGCUGGUCUGAGAGGACGACCAGCCACACUGGGACUGAGACACGGCCCAGACUCCUACGGGAGGCAGCAGUGGGGAAUAUUGGACAAUGGGCGAAAGCCUGAUCCAGCCAUGCCGCGUGUGUGAAGAAGGCCUUUUGGUUGUAAAGCACUUUAAGCAGUGAAGAAGACUCCAUGGUUAAUACCCAUGGACGAUGACAUUAGCUGCAGAAUAAGCACCGGCUAACUCUGUGCCAGCAGCCGCGGUAAUACAGAGGGUGCAAGCGUUAAUCGGAAUUACUGGGCGUAAAGCGAGCGUAGGUGGCUUGAUAAGUCAGAUGUGAAAGCCCCGGGCUUAACCUGGGAACGGCAUCUGAUACUGUUAGGCUAGAGUAGGUGAGAGGAAGGUAGAAUUCCAGGUGUAGCGGUGAAAUGCGUAGAGAUCUGGAGGAAUACCGAUGGCGAAGGCAGCCUUCUGGCAUCAUACUGACACUGAGGUUCGAAAGCGUGGGUAGCAAACAGGAUUAGAUACCCUGGUAGUCCAUGCCGUAAACGUUGGGCACUAGGUGUGGGGAACAUUCCACGUUUUCCGCGCCGUAGCUAACGCAUUAAGUGCCCCGCCUGGGGAGUACGGCCGCAAGGCUAAAACUCAAA
rnacentral:rRNA from 1 species